UACGGAGGGUUCAAGCGUUGUACGGAAUUACUGGGCGUAAAGCGCGUGUAGGCGGUUGGAUAAGUGAGAUGUGAAAGACCACAGCUCAACUGGGGAAGUGCAUUCGAAACUAUUCAGCUUGAGUUCGGGAGAGGGAAGUGGAAGUCCCGGUGUAGAGGUGGAAUUCGUAGAUAUCGGGAAGAACACCGGAGGCGAAGGCGGCUUCCUGGACCGAUACUGACGCUAAGACGCGAAAGCGUGGGGAGCAAACAGG
rnacentral:rRNA from 1 species